rnacentral:rRNA from 1 species
UACGGAGGGUGCAAGCGUUAUCCGGAUUCACUGGGUUUAAAGGGAGCGUAGGUGGCUUUGUAAGUCAGUGGUGAAAUCUUAGAGCUUAACUCUAAAACUGCCAUUGAUACUGCUUAGCUUGAAUCACGUCGAGGUGGAUGGAAUAUGACAUGUAGUGGUGAAAUACUUAGAUAUGUCAUAGAACACCGAUUGCGAAGGCAGCUAACGAAGCUGUAACUGACGCUGAGGCUCGAAAGUGCGGGGAUCAAACAGG